rnacentral:rRNA from 1 species
UACGAAGGGGGCUAGCGUUGUUCGGAUUUACUGGGCGUAAAGCGCACGUAGGCGGAUCGUUAAGUCGGGGGUGAAAUCCUGGAGCUCAACUCCAGAACUGCCUUCGAUACUGGCGAUCUUGAGUCCGGAAGAGGUGAGUGGAACUCCUAGUGUAGAGGUGGAAUUCGUAGAUAUUAGGAAGAACACCAGUGGCGAAGGCGGCUCACUGGUCCGGUACUGACGCUGAGGUGCGAAAGCGUGGGGAGCAAACAGGGAUUAAGAAACCCUGGUAACGUCC